UCAAAAUAUUGCACUCAUACGAAGAAUAUAUCUCUUUUUUACGAGAAAUAGAGGGCAAGGCUGCAAAUAAUAGGACCACUUAUGGCUUACCCCUCAUGGAAGACUGGAGCACCAGGAUGAUGCCAGCAUCUCUCAUCAUUUGUGCUUUCACUCACAUACGUCUA